rnacentral:misc_RNA from 1 species
GAUGAAGAACGCAGCGAAAUGCGAUACUUGGUGUGAAUUGCAGAAUCCCGUGAACCAUCGAGUCUUUGAACGCAAGUUGCGCCCGAAGCCGUCAGGCCGAGGGCACGCCUGCCUGGGCGUCACAUGCCGUUGCCCCCCCGCGCCCCGCACCCAACUCUUUGGGAGCGACCGCGGGGCGGGCUGAUGAUGGCCUCCCGUGCGCUCCGCCGCGCGGUUGGCCCAAAUACCGAGUCCCCGGCGACGUGCGCCUCGACGAUCGGUGGUUGAGAGACCUCUGUCGCAAGUCGUGCGCGCCCGUCGCGUCACGCGGGCUCGCAUAGCGCCUCGCGCCGCACCCGGUGCGGAGCUUUCAACGCGACCCCAGGUCAGGCGGGGUUACCCGCUGAAUUUAAGCAUAUCAAUAAGCGGAGGA